UACGAAGGGAGCUAGCGUUGUUCGGAAUAACUGGGCGUAAAGGGUGCGUAGGCGGCCUUGUAAGUUCGAUGUGAAAGUCCUGGGCUCAACCUGGGGACUGCAUUGAAUACUAUAGGGCUAGAGUAUCGAAGGGGAUGAUGGAAUUAUGCAUGGAGAGGUGGAAUUCAUAGAUAUGCAUAGGAACACCGGUGGCGAAGGCGAUCAUCUGGACGAUAACUGACGCUGAGGCACGAAAGCGUGGGGAGCAAACAGG
rnacentral:rRNA from 1 species